GUUAAACCAAUGUUUACAAUAAAUCCAUGUGUAUGUAAACCCAAUGUGUAUGAAAACCCGUGUUUAAGUUAAACCAAUGUGUAUGUUAAACCAAUGUGUAUAUAUGUUAAACAAAUGAAUGUGUAUGUAGUUAAGUCAAAUAACAAGAUAUCAUAUUAAUUAAACAAGGAUGUUUUUGAGAGAUUAACCUAAAUAUCAAAAUCUUUCUAAAAAAAGAUUUUAUCAUUAAGUAAAAAGAUGUUGUGUGUUCACGGAAAUCUAACUUAUAUUUUAUUGUCGGUUAUAGUAAAAGGUUACAAUUGCGCAAUUAUUUGUUUACAUUUCACCGGGAAGUUUUUGAACCCAAGAUGGUAGUAAGAAUAAAAAUCUGUGAGGCUUCUGAUUGGAUGGUAUGCCUUUAAUGUAUUAAUUUUAUGAAAAAUAAACCAUUUAUGUGCAAAAAUAAUCACAAUUUGGAAUGUUUGAUUUGACAUUCUCAGUAAAAAUAAUUUUUGGGGGGAAUAUGCUAACUGAAAUUUUUGCUGUGUCAUUUAGUGCGGAUUUUGGAAGCGUCCAUAACAACUGCUAUUUAAGGCAAUUUCCGCCGCAUAAGCAUGUUGUUUUUUUUCACUGAAAUAAAUUCUUAUUAUGUCUACUUUCAGAUUCUGGCUUUAGUUUCUCUGCAAUUUAUAUACUUUUUUUUAUUAGGAUUCAAAGAGACAGGGUACCCUAUGGAAAAUGCAUUGUAAAUAAUUGCGCAAUUGUAACCUAUGGAAUUUCUCUACUUUCACUUUCGAUAUUGGAUUUUCAGAAAAUCGGACUCUGAAUCAAACAUUCAAUUGAUUUUGAUUGAUUUUUAACCAAUAUGGAUGACUUCUGGAGAGACUUGCAAUACAAAUUCAACAAAAAAACCCAGGGAAGUGGCAAUGGGAAGGGGUGUAUUGAGUGUAAGGGCACAAAAAAGGGAAAAUCUGGUUAUGGCAUACAGGUUGUGAAAUGGCCACAGGGGAGGAAAAAGGGAGGCUGCACAUAGAGUGGCAUAUAUGAUAAGGCAUAAAUUGACCAGAUAUGAUAUGACAAGAGUGGAUGAGAACAAUAAUGCAAUAGAGUGUAGCCAUAUUUAUCACAAUGCAUCAUGUGUAAAUGUAAACCACCUUGUGUUAGAACCUCAUGCUAUUAACUUGGACCGACUGCACUGCAAAAACCAGGCACUACGUUCAAAAAGUCACAAACCAUAUUGUUUAAUUAAAAAGUAUUGAUUUUAUUUAUUUUCGAAUAGAAAUCUUCUUCGGCUUCUUGCUCUUAACAUACGGAUGGUCGUCGUGUUUUGAUUUUGAUGAUUUCAUGUCGCGGUCAGCUUUCAUUAGCAUAUUCUUCUCAUAUUGUAUUAUUUCGCUUAGUUUUUCAUAUAAUUUGUAUAACUUGCACCUUUUUUUCACUUCGAAAUACUUUAUAAUUGACACUUUGUUUGUGUUUUUUCUGUAAAAUGUCAGUUUUUUUAAUAUUUUUUAGAGCCUUGUAUGCACUACUGCCUACGUGAAUAUCUUAGUGUAGAGCACUACAGAGUUCUAAUAUAGACUCCCCUGGACCGUAAUUGACGCUGUGAGCUGCUGCAUGUGCUCGACCAGACAUGUUUUUCUUGAAGGUAACAUUUGAUAGUAAUGAUCGUCUUAAGCACCUAUUAAAUCCCUCGACAAAAUUAGUGUUCAUGUUUAACCGUGUCUUGUCAAGAACUUUUGAACCAAGUCUCUUAUUAAUUUGUUUCCGAAGCAAGUCCAAGUUCUCAUUGCAGCUACUUAUUUUAAAAGUAUUUUGUAAGAAAGGACGUCCUUUCAACCAUGAUCCCUGAAAUCCUUUACAGGCAAAGGAAUUCUUUCUGCACCUGGCAUGAUUUCCCAUGUAGCAUUUAGCUAUGGCAUCCACUGUGUGAGAAAUUUUAUUCUUAACUUUAUAAAAGUCUUCAGCAUAAAAUUUGUAGGCUAGUGCUAGUUCUUUAUUACAUCUCUCAGUCGGAUCAACAGAAAAAUUAAGUUUUCUGGUUAAACAUUAUUUAUUCCCUCAUUGUGUAUGUCAGGGCAGCUUUAUAGGCAGAACUGUCUGCAUCGGUUACUAAAUGUUCAAUUUCUAUUUCAUCUUCCUUUAAAUCAAGGAGGCAUUCCCUGGCCCAGGUAUACUUAUCUCCUAUACUUUUAACCAUGGGUAUGUUUGCACUGCAUUCAUCUGUGCAAUCUUCAUGAAGUCGGCCUGCGUCAUUGUCUACGUCAAGACUAGAAUGUAUGGAACAGAGCUUGUUUUUGAUAUUUAAUGCUAAUAUAUUGUGUUUUGAUGUUUCAUUUUCAGCUGCCGUAUAAACUAUUUGUGUUGCCGGUUGAAAAGGAGUGCGGCCUAUACCGGAAUACAGUGGAUUAUUGUACACUCCAUCCAUUUGAACACUUAUAGCAUGUGGAUUUUCCUUGCCUCUUAACUUAUUUAUUUUUAUAAUAUCAUUUCUUCUUCUAUUCAUAUCCUGUUUAUUAAUUUGUUCAAUUUGUUUCAUGACUGUAUUUGCUCUUCUUUGUAGGCUAGAUGUUACUGGAACCAAGAUGUUACCACUUAAGAAGAUUUUUUGUAUACCGGUGUAAGCAAUGGGUGUUUGACUCAGGCCGACAUGAAUUGCAGUGUCAAGUUUUGAUGCUUUUCUGCCAGGUUUCCCAGUUUCCAAUUCUUCAUACAGGGUGUAUGGCUUUGAUUUGUAAUCACACUUUGUGCAUAUUAGCAGUUGUCGCGUUCCAAAGCCUGUUUUCUCUUCAUUUUCUAAAUCACAUAGCAGAAUACCUUCACACUGUGGAUUUCUCAAUUGAUGUUCUUUAAAUGCUGCAUUCCACAUUUCCUCCAUCUUGUAUAUGCAUAUUGCUCGGUUGGAAUUGUAAUCUGGUCUAAAAAAUACAAAAAAUACUCAAAAUAAGACUUAGCAAAGAACUUAUUCCUAUUUACUGAUUUUGCAAAUAGAGGUACCUGCCCCUUAGUUGACAGAAUUUUUUCUCUGUGAAUUAAGAUGGUACAUAGACUUUUAAAUCUUGCAAUAUGUAUGUAUGUAGAUUCUUCUUUUUAUUAAUAUAUUUGUUGUUAAAUUCAUAAAAGUAACAGUUUAUAUAUUUAUACUGUUCUUUUUUAAUUAAAAAAUGAUGUAUUGUGGUUCAAAAUGUGCAAUUUUUUGUAUCUCGCACUCUAUAAUUUCCAUAUUUAUGUCUUUCUUUGUAAAGAUAUCUCACUUAAACUGUUUAUAAGUCAAUAUUAUUUAAUUGUUAACUUACCUUUUGUCCUUUUUAGCAUUUUUCCUGAUUGGUUUGGUAAGAAGCACCUCCUCAGUCAAUGGACGGAGUAAUCUUGCAGCACGGCAAACCCUUUUGGAUUUCUCCUUGGAUUAGCAUACGGAUCAUUCACUACUAAAUUGUGUUUUUCUUUGUUUGUAUUGCUGAAUAAAUCUUCCACUGGCCGCAAACAUAGGAUGAAGUAUAGAAAUAUCAAUUUCUCAAAGAAGACUUCACAGAUCACUUCCUAAUUUGUCGUGUGUAAUAGACAUAGAUAGUUGUAUAUGCAGACAAAAUUAAAGUCUCAUUUGAAAA